GCGAGGGGCGGGGCUGCGGGCGGCCCAGGAGCGCGGCGCUAAUGGCGGGGCCGGUGAAGGACCGCGAGGCCUUCCGGAGGCUCAGCUUCUUGUACCAGGCCGCGCAUUGUGUCCUUGCCCAGGACCCCGAGAACCAGGCGCUGGCAAGAUUUUACUGCCACACGGAGAGGACCAUCGCGAAGCGGCUCGUCUUGCGGCGGGACCCUUCGGUGAAGAGGACUCUCUGUCGAGGCUGUUCUUCCCUCCUCGUGCCCGGCCUCACCUGCACCCAGCGCCAGAGACAUUCUAAACUACUACAGCCCUUGCCAAACACAGCCCACCCCAUUCCAACCCACCUUCCUGAGGAGAAAAUGCCGACUCAAGGUUCCAGUCACCAGUGAUGGAUUCACCCCAGCUCCCAAAUAUAGUUUACAUGUUUUACGUUCAAAAAAAAAAAAAAAAA